UGGGGAAUAUUGCACAAUGGAGGAAACUCUGAUGCAGCGACGCCGCGUGAGUGAAGAAGUAUUUCGGUAUGUAAAGCUCUAUCAGCAGGGAAGAUAGUGACGGUACCUGACUAAGAAGCACCGGCUAAAUACGUGCCAGCAGCCGCGGUAAUACGUAUGGUGCAAGCGUUAUCCGGAUUUACUGGGUGUAAAGGGAGUGUAGGUGGUUUGGCAAGUCAGAAGUGAAAGCCCAGGGCUCAACCCUGGGACUGCUUUUGAAACUGCCAGACUAGAGUGCAGGAGAGGUAAGUGGAAUUCCUAGUGUAGCGGUGAAAUGCGUAGAUAUUAGGAGGAACACCAGUGGCGAAAGCGGCUUUCUGGACGACAACUGACGCUGAGGCGCGAAAGCCAGGGGAGCAAA
rnacentral:rRNA from 1 species